rnacentral:other from 1 species
AUCAUCCUGAUGUGUUCGUCUAUUAAAAGUAUUUUGACCGAACAACUAUAAAAAUGGGAGUCUAAUUGGUUUUUAAGGUGCGUGCAAGCCUAAAAAUGGUAGGAGGCACAAUACCCUUAAAACAGGACACCCACCUGCUGAUAGCGGGAUCAAAGCUUGAAAUAAGACGGCACAAUCGGGAUUGAA